rnacentral:rRNA from 1 species
GAUUAGUUUGUUGGUUUUUAUGUUAAAAGCUUACCAAGACAAUUAUUAGUAACCAUUCUUUGUGGAUGUAUGGUCACAUUGGGAUUGAGAAAAGGCCCAAACUCCUACGGGAGGCAGCAGUGGGGAAUAUUGGACAAUGAGCGGAAGCUUGAUCCAGCAAUGUCGCGUGUGUGAUGAAGGGAAACUGUAAAACACUUUUUUUCGAGAAUAAGAAAUUUUGACUAAUAAUCAGAAUUUUUGAAUUUAUUGAAAGAAUAAGUACCGGCUAAUCACGUGCCAGCAGCCGCGGUAAUACGUGGGGUGCAAGCGUUAAUCAAAAUGAAUAGGCGUAAAGUGUGCUAAGAUUGUUUAAAAAAAUUUAUGUAAGAAUUUUAAUUUGGGUUAAAAAAAUUUUAAAUCACUUUUAAACUAGAGUUUAGAUAUAUGAAAAUAGAAUUUUAUGUGUAGCAGUGAAAUGCGUUGAUAUAUAAAGGAAUGCCAAAGGCGAAAGCAUUUUUCUUGGUCUAAACUGACGUUUAUGCACGAAAGCGUGGGUAGCAAACAGGAUUAGAUACCCUGGUAGUCCACGCCCUAAACGAUGUCGAUUAAUCACUACAAGUGGUGUAGCUAACGCGUUAAAUCGACCGCCUGGGAAUUACGAUCGAAAGAUUAAAACUCAAAGGAAUUGACGGGGACCAGCACAAGCGGUGGAUGAUGUGGAUUAAUUCGAUGAUACCCGAAAAACCUUACCUACUCUUGACAUGGUUGGAAUUUUUUUGAAAAAAAAAAGUGCCUGAAAAGGAACCAACACACAGGUGUUGCAUGGCUGUCGUCAGCUCGUGUCGUGAGAUGUUGGGUUAAGUCCCGUAACGAGCGUAACCCUCACUCUUAUUUAAAAUAUUUUAUUUAUAAGAGAACUGCUAACGAUAAGUUUAGAGGAAGGAGAGGAUGACUUUCAGUCCUCAUGGCCCUUAUGAGUAGGGCUUCACACGUCAUACAAUGGUUGGUACAAAAAGUUGCAAUAUUGUGAAAUUGAGCUAAUCUAUAAAACCAAUCUUAGUUCGGAUUGUACUCUGCAACUCGAGAACACACGCGUCCAAUCGCUAGUAAUCG